rnacentral:tRNA from 1 species
GCCUGGGUGGCUCAGUAGGUUGAGCAUCUGACUUCGGCUCAGGUCAUGAUCUCGCAGUUCGUGAGUUUGAGCCCCGCGUCGGGCU